rnacentral:rRNA from 1 species
UUGAACGCUGGCGGCAGGCCUCACACAUGCAAGUCGCACGGUAACAGGAAGAAGCUUGCUUCUUUGCUGACGAGUGGCGGACGGGUGAGUAAUGUCUGGGAAACUGCCUGAUGGAGGGGGAUAACUACUGGAAACGGUAGCUAAUACCGCAUAACGUCGCAAGACCAAAGAGGGGGACCUUCGGGCCUCUUGCCAUCGGAUGUGCCCAGAUGGGAUUAGCUAGUAGGUGGGGUAACGGCUCACCUAGGCGACGAUCCCUAGCUGGUCUGAGAGGAUGACCAACCACACUGGAACUGAGACACGGUCCAGACUCCUACGGGAGGCAGCAGUGGGGAAUAUUGCACAAUGGGCGCAAGCCUGAUGCAGCCAUGCCGCGUGUAUGAAGAAGGCCUUCGGGUUGUAAAGUACUUUCAGCGGGGAGGAAGGGAGUAAAGUUAAUACCUUUGCUCAUUGACGUUACCCGCAGAAGAAGCACCGGCUAACUCCGUG